UACUCCAUGGCCCAAUAUAUAAGGCGCUGGUCUACAAGACCAGAGAUUCUGGGUUCGAUCCCGAGUGGAGUCG
rnacentral:tRNA from 1 species